CGAAAUGCGAUACUUGGUGUGAAUUGCAGGAUCCCGCGAACCACCGAGUCUUUGAACGCAAGUUGCGCCCGGAGCCUUGUGGCCGAGGGCACGUCUGCCUGGGCGUC
rnacentral:rRNA from 1 species